rnacentral:rRNA from 1 species
UGAAGCCCAGCUUGCUGGGUGGAUUAGUGGCGAACGGGUGAGUAACACGUGAGUAACCUGCCCUGGACUCUGGGAUAACCCCGAGAAAUCGGAGCUAAUACCGGAUAGGACCUUUCCUCGCAUGAGGUUUGGUGGAAAGUUUUUCGGUUUGGGAUGGACUCGCGGCCUAUCAGCUUGUUGGUGAGGUAAUGGCUCACCAAGGCGUCGACGGGUAGCCGGCCUGAGAGGGUGACCGGCCACACUGGGACUGAGACACGGCCCAGACUCCUACGGGAGGCAGCAGUGGGGAAUAUUGCACAAUGGGCGCAAGCCUGAUGCAGCAACGCCGCGUGCGGGAUGACGGCCUUCGGGUUGUAAACCGCUUUUAGUAGGGAAGAAGGGCUUCGGCUUGACGGUACCUGCAGAAAAAGGACCGGCUAACUACGUGCCAGCAGCCGCGGUAAUACGUAGGGUCCGAGCGUUGUCCGGAAUUAUUGGGCGUAAAGAGCUCGUAGGCGGUUUGUCGCGUCUGCUGUGAAAACUAGAGGCUCAACCUCUAGCCUGCAGUGGGUACGGGCAGACUUGAGUGGUGUAGGGGAGACUGGAAUUCCUGGUGUAGCGGUGGAAUGCGCAGAUAUCAGGAGGAACACCGAUGGCGAAGGCAGGUCUCUGGGCACUUACUGACGCUGAGGAGCGAAAGCGUGGGGAGCGAACAGGAUUAGAUACCCUGGUAGUCCACGCCGUAAACGUUGGGCGCUAGAUGUGGGGACCUUUCCACGGUUUCCGUGU